UUCUUUCUCUCUCGCUGCUUCCGACGGGUGAUGUCAUUUCCGAGCCGGACGUUUUGCUUCGGACAGAGUGGCUGACUUGGUGCUUCCCAGGCUCGUGUGUGUGUCACCUAAAUGGCCUGCUGUGUUGCUGAGGUCCGGUGGUGGUGACCUGGUGGCGGGGUUCCCCCCCCUUUUCGUGUGCUGUGCUCCCCUGGGUUCUGGGUCUCCUCACUGUGUGCGUGUGUGAUUGUCACAAGUGUCUGGGUGCUUAUAUUUUUGGUUGGGGUUUCUCCACACCAUCAAUAGCCUCUUCACCACGGUAAGCCUCAGCCCUAGUUUAGUCCCCCAUUUAUUUCAAAUGUGCACACAAAAUAUUAGGCUGAUUGGACUAAUAGUUUGCAUAGCUGCGUACAGACAGACACACGAUAAACACACAACUGGCAUAACAACUAGUCUGUAAUACAAGCUACUACAGGUGGUUUUAUUUUGUUAAUAAUUUUCUAACACACAAGAUUAAAUGGUUUCCACACAAGAACUGUUUUGACUGGAAAAGACCUCAGAGUUGAGAGCAGACUGAGCAAACACUGUCCGCUAAUGGCAGCCGUGUUGCUUUACCAUUUGUGCAUGCAUACUUUUAGAUCCUGCCAAGCCAACUGUAUACGCUGCAGGAGCUCUGUUGCUCCACAGAUAAGAAACAAUAAA